rnacentral:rRNA from 1 species
UACAGAGGUCCCAAGCGUCGUUCGGAUUCAUUGGGCGUAAAGGGUGCGUAGGUGGCGUCGUAAGUCGGGUGUGAAAUCUCGGGGCUUAACUCCGAAACUGCAUUCGAUACUGCGGUGCUUGAGGACUGGAGAGGAGACUGGAAUUUACGGUGUAGCAGUGAAAUGCGUAGAGAUCGUAAGGAAGACCAGUGGCGAAGGCGGGUCUCUGGACAGUUCCUGACACUGAGGCACGAAGGCCAGGGGAGCAAACGGG